AUUGAACGCUGGCGGCAUGCCUUACGCAUGCAAGUCGAACGGCAGCACGGGAGCAAUCCUGGUGGCGAGUGGCGAACGGGUGAGUAAUAUAUCGGAACGUGCCCAGUCGUGGGGGAUAACGCAGCGAAAGCUGUGCUAAUACCGCAUACGAUCUACGGAUGAAAGCGGGGGAUCGCAAGACCUCGCGCGAUUGGAGCGGCCGAUAUCAGAUUAGCUAGUUGGUGGGGUAAAGGCCCACCAAGGCGACGAUCUGUAGCUGGUCUGAGAGGACGACCAGCCACACUGGAACUGAGACACGGUCCAGACUCCUACGGGAGGCAGCAGUGGGGAAUUUUGGACAAUGGGCGCAAGCCUGAUCCAGCAAUGCCGCGUGCAGGAUGAAGGCCUUCGGGUUGUAAACUGCUUUUGUACGGAACGAAACGGCCCUUUCUAAUACAGGGGGCUAAUGACGGUACCGUAAGAAUAAGCACCGGCUAACUACGUGCCAGCAGCCGCAGUAAUAC
rnacentral:rRNA from 1 species